AUGAAUUGGUUUUUUUUAUCCUCUCCAGGUGGCAUUUUACAUAUAAACAAUACUGAAUGGAGUUAACGACUACGAAGGAAGCUUUACAAUUAAUAACAAACGUGGGCGGGUUGCACACUCUCUCUUGAAUCAGCCACUGGCUACAGCUGUCAAAUUGGUUUUUUUUUUUCGAAAAUACAGAGCAGUUGAUAUGCCAUGAGGUAUUAACAUUUGGAUCCAUAUUUGAUUGAAAUCGCUCCAACACGCUCGAGAGUGAGGUAGACAAAGAAUCCACAAAUAUCAGGAAAGAAUGUCCGGACUCAAUCUUGAAAGAGCAACAGAACUUACCAAUUAUUUAUGGAUAUGUUGUCACUCAUCAAGCUUCCUUCAAAAAUUCUGGAUAUGAAAUUAAUUCAAAUACAGUGUGAAUUUUUUAUCUUUUUAAUAUUUUCCUCUGGAAAAAUCUCGCAAAUAUGUAUUCAUUCUUGUAGGCUAAUGUUUAUUUUAACAAAAGAGAAAAUAACCUGUUUGUUGUAAGACAUGUAAGAUAAUAAUGUAUAUAAUUUAGAGGAUUCAAAUUAGGUUUGUUGAU